AAGCACUUUCCCAGGGAUGAUAAUGACAGUACCUGGUAAAGAAACCCCGGGCUAACUCCGUGCCAGCAGCCGCGGUAAUACGGAGGGGGUUAGCGUUGUUCGGAAAUUACUGGGCGUAAAGCGUACGUAGGCGGAUCAGAAAGUUGGGGGUGAAAUCCCGGGGCUCAACCCCGGAACUGCCUCCAAAACUCCUGGUCUUGAGUUCGAGAGAGGUGAGUGGAAUUCCAAGUGUAGAGGUGAAAUUCGUAGAUAUUUGGAGGAACACCAGUGGCGAAGGCGGCUCACUGGCUCGAUACUGACGCUGAGGUACGAAAGUGUGGGGAGCAAACAGGAUUAGAUACCCUGGUAGUCCACACCGUAAACGAUGAAUGCCAGUCGUCGGGCAGUAUACUGUUCGGUGACACACCUAACGGAUUAAGCAUUCCGCCUGGGGAGUACGGUCGCAAGAUUAAAACUCAAAGGAAUUGACGGGGGCCCGCACAAGCGGUGGAGCAUGUGGGGGUUGGUAAGGUUCUGCGCGUUGCUUCGAAUUAAAUUGACAUCCUGUGCUAACCCGAGAGAUCGGGCGUUCACUUCGGUGACGCAGUGACAGGUGCUGCAUGGCUGUCGUCAGCUCGUGUCGUGAGAUGUUCGGUUAAGUCCGGCAACGAGCGCAACCCACAUCCUUAGUUGCCAGCAGUUCGGCUGGGCACUCUAAGGAAACUGCCCGUGAUAAGCGGGAGGAAGGUGUGGAUGACGUCAAGUCCUCAUGGCCCUUACGGGUUGGGCUACACACGUGCUACAAUGGCAGUGACAAUGGGUUAAUCCCCAAAAGCUGUCUCAGUUCGGAUUGGGGUCUGCAACUCGACCCCAUGAAGUCGGAAUCGCUAGUAAUCGUGGAACAGCAUGCCACGGUGAAUACGUUCCCGGGCCUUGUACACACCGCCCGUCACACCAUGGGAGUUGGUUCUACCCGACGGCCGUGCGCCAACCUUUCGAGGAGGCAGCGGACCACGGUAGGAUCAGCGACUGGGGUGAAGUCGUAACAAGGUAACCAACGAUCCUAAGAC
rnacentral:rRNA from 1 species